AUUGAACGCUGGCGGCAGGCCUAACACAUGCAAGUCGAACGAGUGGCGGACGGGUGAGUAAUGUCUGGGAAACUGCCUGAUGGAGGGGGAUAACUACUGGAAACGGUAGCUAAUACCGCAUACCAUCGGAUGUGCCCAGAUGGGAUUAGCUAGUAGGUGGGGUAAAGGCUCACCCAGGCGACGAUCCCUAGCGGGUCUGAGAGGAUGACCGGCCAAACUGGAACGGAGACACUGUCAAGACUCCUACGGGAGGCAGAAGUGGGGAAUAGUGGACAAUGGGCGCAAGCCUGAUGCAUCAAUGCCGCGUGUAUGAAGAAGGCCGUCGGGUUGUAAAGUACUUUCAGCGGGGAGGCGUUACCCGCAGAAGAAGCACCGGCUAACUCCGUGCCAGCAGCCGCGGUAAUUC
rnacentral:rRNA from 1 species